AUAGUGCCUGUUUUAAAAAUAGAAAAGGAAUUAAUUGUGAAGCAAAAUUCAAAUUGUGUGCUGGAAUUUAAAAUAUAUUACGCUCAUAAGACUUAAGGGGAUAUACUAGUGUAGAGGCAGAUUAAACUUUGAAAAUGUUAAAAAAUAAUAUUUCUAGACACAGGAGAUAAAUAAAAAGAAAAUAAAAAUAAAAAUAAAAAGUUUAAUAUUCAAAACUCCAACGAAACUCACCUGAAGAGCACUAAACUGCAACUUCUCCUCCUCGGGCGUUUGUCCAAUUUGCGAGGUGACACCCAGCGGCUUGGCAAAUGAACCGCACCAAAUGGCAAACAGAUUGAAAAGACUGCGUUUUAAGCCAGUGGUCAGCAGUGUGCCGCAUGAAUCCACUGUAACGGUAAAUUAAUACAUAAAAUAAACAAAGUAUUAGCAUGAAUUGUAGCAAGGAAAGCUUACGUGAGAAAUUCUUAAUCAUUUUCCGUAUGAAAUUGCAAAAGUGCGCUUUCACUUCGCGAAUGCUCGUGUUGUCCUUAUCCGUUUCGGCUAGAAGAUAUUGAAUAGCGCCCUCAAUAUACUCGACGAAGGUUGGGUGUAGAGACAUUGUAUCGCGUUCCAGUACACAUGGACUGCAAAAAGAACCAACAAGCAGUGCUCUGACCGAAAUAGUGAGUUAAAUAUAAUAUUAUUUACAUAUAUAGUAUACUUAGGAGAAUAAAAUAAAAAAAUUAAUUUAAAAAAAAAUAUUUUAAAAAAAUUAAAAAAAAUUUAUUUUCAAAAAUGAUGAAUUUUCAAUUUUUGAACGUACGAAUUUCAAACUAUAAUUUAUCACUAAAGCAAUUUCUCAAGUUUUUCAAGCGUCACAUCUGCGUGGCAAUUUAUUAUACUUUUCCCGCCCAUUACACACACACCCACUUACCUAACACCAAAUGUGCCGUUUUCCGCAAUUUUCUCCAAAACACGUACAAGCUGUAAUCGUAAAGCAUCGCGGCGACGCCGACGGCGCAUGUUCUCCUGCUUCCUAUCGACAGCUUCGCGUAUAUACACAACCAGCUCUUCCAUCAAAUCUCUGCGAAAAUUAAAAAAUAAAUGUUAAGCCUGCUCACAGACAUGGAAGUGCACACAAAUACAGUUAUAUGUUAUUGUUAUAAGUAUAGAGAGGCAUUGUAAAGUGGGCGAGCAAUUGGCACGUAGUGUACUUUAUGCGCGCCAACACGGAUAUACAAACACUUGAGUGCCAUUUGAGUGAAAAAAAUGCGAUUUCGUGGGAUAUUGCGCGACGGCGUGUCUUUGACGUUAGAAGUCGAAAUAGUUUUAAUAUGGAAACAUAACAGAAAAGCAGCCGUGGGAGAAAGCGCCUCGUGAUUAAUCAUGCCAAGCGCAUUUACGGCCGCAUCACGCACUUCCACCACCUCACAGCGUAGCA